rnacentral:tRNA from 1 species
UGGCUUAGACAGUAAAGAAUCUGUCUGCAAUGCAGAAGACCCGGGUUCAAUCCCUGG